AUUGAACGCUGGCGGCAGGCCUAACACAUGCAAGUCGAGCGGAUGAAGGGAGCUUGCUCCUGGAUUCAGCGGCGGACGGGUGAGUAAUGCCUAGGAAUCUGCCUGGUAGUGGGGGAUAACGUCCGGAAACGGGCGCUAAUACCGCAUACGUUCUGAGGGAGAAAGUGGGGGAUCUUCGGACCUCACGCUAUCAGAUGAGCCUAGGUCGGAUUAGCUAGUUGGUGGGGUAAAGGCCUACCAAGGCGACGAUCCGUAACUGGUCUGAGAGGAUGAUCAGUCACACUGGAACUGAGACACGGUCCAGACUCCUACGGGAGGCAGCAGUGGGGAAUAUUGGACAAUGGGCGAAAGCCUGAUCCAGCCAUGCCGCGUGUGUGAAGAAGGUCUUCGGAUUGUAAAGCUCUUUAAGUUGGGAGGAAGGGCAGUAAGUUAAUACCUUGCUGUUUUGACGUUACCAACAGAAUAAGCACCGGCUAACUUCGUG
rnacentral:rRNA from 1 species